GCAGUCGAACGCUGAAGCACCAGCUUGCUGGUGUGGAUGAGUGGCGAACGGGUGAGUAAUACGUGAGUAACCUGCCCUUGACUCUGGGAUAAGCCCGGGAAACUGGGUCUAAUACUGGAUGCUACAUGUCACCGCAUGGUGGUGUGUGGAAAGGGUUUACUGGUCUUGGAUGGGCUCACGGCCUAUCAGCUUGUUGGUGAGGUAAUGGCUCACCAAGGCGACGACGGGUAGCCGGCCUGAGAGGGUGACCGGCCACACUGGGACUGAGACACGGCCCAGACUCCUACGGGAGGCAGCAGUGGGGAAUAUUGCACAAUGGGCGAAAGCCUGAUGCAGCGACGCCGCGUGAGGGAUGACGGCCUUCGGGUUGUAAACCUCUUUCAGCAGGGAAGAAGCCACAAGUGACGGUACCUGCAGAAGAAGCGCCGGCUAACUACGUGCCAGCAGCCGCGGUAAUACGUAGGGCGCAAGCGUUGUCCGGAAUUAUUGGGCGUAAAGAGCUCGUAGGCGGUUUGUCGCGUCUGCUGUGAAAGCCCGGGGCUUAACCCCGGGUGUGCAGUGGGUACGGGCAGACUAGAGUGCAGUAGGGGAGACUGGAAUUCCUGGUGUAGCGGUGGAAUGCGCAGAUAUCAGGAGGAACACCGAUGGCGAAGGCAGGUCUCUGG
rnacentral:rRNA from 1 species